GUGAGUGUAGUUCAAUGGUAGAGCACUGGACUGUGGCUCCAGUAGUUGUGGGUUCGAGUCCCAUCACUCACC
rnacentral:tRNA from 2 species